rnacentral:rRNA from 1 species
CCCUUAGAUGUUCUGGGCCGCACGCGCGCUACACUGACGAUGGCAACGAGUUUUUCCUUCGCCGAAAGGUGUGGGUAAUCUUUUGAAACAUCGUCGUGCUGGGGAUAGAUCAUUGCAAUUUUUGAUCUUGAACGAGGAAUUCCUAGUAAGCGCGAGUCAUCAGCUCGCGGUGAUUACGUCCCUGCCCUUUGUACACACCGCCCGUCGCUACUACCGAUUGAAUGGUUUAGUGAGGACUCCUGAUUGGCGCCGCCGCCCCGGCAACGGAGCAGCGGACUGCCGAAAAGUUGUUCAAACUUGAUCAUUUAGAGGAAGUAAAAGUCGUAACA